ensembl:lncRNA
GUCAAUUGGAAAAGUUUUUGGGGCAUACCUGAACUGUUGAAAAAAAAAAAAAAAUUCAAAUAAAAAGCCUACAAAAUGUACAAUAAAACACCUUGUACCACUUUCACAAACCUAGGGUCCUAUCAUACACCAUGGUCUAAAGUCAAUGCCACAAUAUUUAUUUAUUUAUAUAUAAUAUUGUGGCAUUGACUUUAGACCAGGUUUUAGUUGGUCAAUGGCACAGUCUAUUAUUGUGCCGGGUGUAUGAUAGGGCCCUAGGUUUGUGAAAGUGGUACAAAGUGUUUUAUUGUACAUUUUGUAGGCUUUUUAUUUGAAUCUCUGAUAUACUCUGAACUCACAAUGGACCCUUCGUACAGAUAUCCACUUUGAUUAUGGUUUUAAACUAAAGCAAGGUUAUUUAUUUACAGCUUACCAAGAAAUCAUUGAACUUCAGUUCCACUUCAGAUGACUCGAUAAGCAGCAUUGACAACAGUGAAGAUGAUUAUGUGCCUGAAUCGGAGAGCUGUUCAGAAGAAUCUGAAGAGAACCUUCCACAGCCUUUGUCCAGUCCCUCAUCUCCCAAUGUGGCAUUAGAUGGGGAUGUUGAUAUUUCCUCAUCCAUGAAUGCAGACAAAGAAUGUUCCCCACUUGAAGAUAAGGAGAAAACUACUCAUUCAGACAAUGAUUGUAGUAGUGAGGUUUCCGUAAUGAAACUGAAAAAGACUGCAUAUGGCCAAAGAAUGUACAACAAAAAGCAGUAUUGCUUUUACUGCUCCAAACCAUUCUGCAAAAUGGCAAGACACUUGGCCCAAGUUUAUAAGAAUGAGGUGGACGUAGCAAAAGCUCUUUCUUUUCCAAAGGGAUCUAAAGAAAGGAGGAUUAAUCUGGAUCUUUUGAGGAAUAAAGGGAACCGUGAACACAACACAAAUGUUCUGAAAUGUGGCAAAGGAGUGUUGGUGCCACGUCAACAAUCCACUGCUAAACAUGUGAGUGUUAAGGACUACAUGCACUGUUUGAACUGCCAAGGGCUGUUCCGACGAAAAGCACUUUGGAGGCAUAUGUCAAGGUGCAACCUGGCCAAGAAGUGCCAGGUUACAAAACCAGGUAGAUCCAGAGUUCAAGCACUCUGUGCUUAUGCACAGCCUGUUCCUGAAGGAGUAACUAACAAAUUAUGGAAACUGAUCAGUGACAUGAAGCAAGAUGAAGUAACAUAUGCAGUUAAAAGUGAUGCAUGCAUCAUCAAAUUUGGGGAACACUUGUGCAACAAAAUGGGUAGCGACAAAACCAAGCACGAAUACAUCAGAACUAAAAUGCGUGAGGCUGGAAGGCUGUUGGUGUGUGCUAGGAAAGUGGGAAAGCUGCAGAGUAUUAAAGACUUCUUCAUACCCACAAACUUCUAUCACGUCAUCAAGGCUGUUAAAGAUACCUCGGGAUUCCGAGAAGAAGAUGAGGUCUUCGCAAUUCCAUCUUUGGCAUUAAAACUGGGGCACAACCUUAAAAAAAUGGCCGAUAUUGCAGAAUGUGAAGCAAUGAUUGCAGGAGAGGAAAAAGAUGUCCGAAAUGUAAAAAUGUUUAAGCAAAUGUAUACCACAAAAUGGAAUGAAUUUGUGUCCUCCUCAGCCUUGAAGACGCUUAAUGAAGCGAAAUGGAACUCUCCAGAACUUCUCCCUUUCACUGAGGAUGUUAAAAAAAUGCACAUACAUCUCAGCAAUCAAACUGAAUUGUACCAAGAAAAGCUCAAACUUGAGAAAAGUCAGAAGAACUGGUCAGAUCUUGCACAAGUAACUCUGUGUGAUGUAAUCGUGUUUAAUCGCAGGAGAGCAGGAGAAGUUUCGAAAAUGAGGUUGAAUUCAUAUCUUCUCCGAAACACAUCUGUCUUGCAUUCCGAUGUCGCUGAUGCUUUAUCUGAAGUUGAGCAGAAGCUCUGUCAGCAUUUCCAACGUGUCGAAAUUAGAGGCAAGCGAGACCGAAAAGUGCCGAUACUCCUGACCCCAAGUAUGCUGGACUCCAUGGAGCUACUUGUAAAGAACCGUCAAGCAUGUGGCGUACUGGAUGAAAAAAAAAAUUUUUUCGCAAAGCCCAUGACUGAGACAUCAUACUACAAAGGUACAGACUGCAUCAGGAAGGUUGCCCACCAGU